GACGAACGCUGGCGGCGUGCCUAAUACAUGCAAGUAGAACGCUGAAGAGAGGAGCUUGCUCUUCUUGGAUGAGUUGCGAACGGGUGAGUAACGCGUAGGUAACCUGCCUUGUAGCGGGGGAUAACUAUUGGAAACGAUAGCUAAUACCGCAUAACAAUGGAUGACACAUGUCAUUUAUUUGAAAGGGGCAAUUGCUCCACUACAAGAUGGACCUGCGUUGUAUUAGCUAGUAGGUGAGGUAAUGGCUCACCUAGGCGACGAUACAUAGCCGACCUGAGAGGGUGAUCGGCCACACUGGGACUGAGACACGGCCCAGACUCCUACGGGAGGCAGCAGUAGGGAAUCUUCGGCAAUGGGGGCAACGCUGACCGAGCAACGCCGCGUGAGUGAAGAAGGGUUUCGGAUCGUAAAGCUCUGUUGUAAGUCAAGAACGGGUGUGAGAGUGGAAAGUUCACACUGUGACGGUAGCUUACCAGAAAGGGACGGCUAACUACGUG
rnacentral:rRNA from 1 species